GACGAACGCUGGCGGCGUGCUUAACACAUGCAAGUCGAACGGAAAGGCCCUGCUUUUGUGGGGUGCUCGAGUGGCGAACGGGUGAGUAACACGUGAGUAACCUGCCCUUGACUUUGGGAUAACUUCAGGAAACUGGGGCUAAUACCGGAUAGGAGCUCCUGCUGCAUGGUGGGGGUUGGAAAGUUUCGGCGGUUGGGGAUGGACUCGCGGCUUAUCAGCUUGUUGGUGGGGUAGUGGCUUACCAAGGCUUUGACGGGUAGCCGGCCUGAGAGGGUGACCGGCCACAUUGGGACUGAGAUACGGCCCAGACUCCUACGGGAGGCAGCAGUGGGGAAUAUUGCACAAUGGGCGGAAGCCUGAUGCAGCAACGCCGCGUGCGGGAUGACGGCCUUCGGGUUGUAAACCGCUUUCGCCUGUGACGAAGCGUGAGUGACGGUAAUGGGUAAAGAAGCACCGGCUAACUACGUGCCAGCAGCCGCGGUGAUACGUAGGGUGCGAGCGUCGUCCGGAUUUAUUGGGCGUAAAGGGCUCGUAGGUGGUUGAUCGCGUCGGAAGUGUAAUCUUGGGGCUUAACCCUGAGCGUGCUUUCGAUACGGGUUGACUUGAGGAAGGUAGGGGAGAAUGGAAUUCCUGGUGGAGCGGUGGAAUGCGCAGAUAUCAGGAGGAACACCAGUGGCGAAGGCGGUUCUCUGGGCCUUUCCUGACGCUGAGGAGCGAAAGCGUGGGGAGCGAACAGGCUUAGAUACCCUGGUAGUCCACGCUGUAAACGGUGGGUACUAGGUGUGGGGUCCAUUCCACGGGUUCCGUGCCGUAGCUAACGCUUUAAGUACCCCGCCUGGGGAGUACGGCCGCAAGGCUAAAACUCAAAGGAAUUGACGGGGCCCCGCACAAGCGGCGGAGCAUGCGGAUUAAUUCGAUGCAACGCGUAGAACCUUACCUGGGUUUGACAUGGAUCGGGAGCGCUCAGAGAUGGGUGUGCCUCUUUUGGGGUCGGUUCACAGGUGGUGCAUGGCUGUCGUCAGCUCGUGUCGUGAGAUGUUGGGUUAAGUCCCGCAACGAGCGCAACCCUUGUUCACUGUUGCCAGCACGUUAUGGUGGGGACUCAGUGGAGACCGCCGGGGUCAACUCGGAGGAAGGUGGGGAUGACGCCAAGUCAUCAUGCCCCUUAUGUCCAGGGCUUCACGUAUGCUACAAUGGCUGGUACAGAGAGUGGCGAGCCUGUGAGGGUGAGCGAAUCUCGGAAAGCCGGUCUCAGUUCGGAUUGGGGUCUGCAACUCGACCUCAUGAAGUCGGAGUCGCUAGUAAUCGCAGAUCAGCAACGCUGCGGUGAAUACGUUCCCGGG
rnacentral:rRNA from 1 species